GACGAACGCUGGCGGCGUGCUUAACACAUGCAAGUCGAACGGAAAGGCCCUGCUUGCGGGGUACUCGAGUGGCGAACGGGUGAGUAACACGUGGGUGAUCUGCCCUGCACUUCGGGAUAAGCCUGGGAAACUGGGUCUAAUACCGGAUAGGAGCCAUUUUUAGUGUGAUGGUUGGAAAGUUUUUUCGGUGUAGGAUGAGCUCGCGGCCUAUCAGCUUGUUGGUGGGGUAAUGGCCUACCAAGGCGGCGACGGGUAGCCGGCCUGAGAGGGUGGACGGCCACAUUGGGACUGAGAUACGGCCCAGACUCCUACGGGAGGCAGCAGUGGGGAAUAUUGCACAAUGGGCGCAAGCCUGAUGCAGCGACGCCGCGUGGGGGAGGACGGCCUUCGGGUUGUAAACUCCUUUCGCUAGGGACGAAGCUUUUUGUGACGGUACCUAGAGAAGAAGCACCGGCUAACUACGUG
rnacentral:rRNA from 1 species